UACGUAGGGUGCAAGCGUUGUCCGGAAUUAUUGGGCGUAAAGAGCUCGUAGGCGGUUUGUCGCGUCUGCUGUGAAAACUCGGGGCUUAACCCCGGGCCUGCAGUGGGUACGGGCAGACUAGAGUGCGGUAGGGGAGACUGGAAUUCCUGGUGUAGCGGUGAAAUGCGCAGAUAUCAGGAGGAACACCAGUGGCGAAGGCGGCUCACUGGCCCGAUACUGACGCUGAGGCACAAAAGCGUGGGGAGCAAACAGG
rnacentral:rRNA from 1 species